GCGGAGGUACCCAAGCGGUCAAAGGGGCUAGGUUCAGGACCUAGUGGCUUAGUGCCUUCGUAGGUUCGAAUCCUACCCUCCGCA
rnacentral:tRNA from 1 species